ACAUGCCUACAACAUAGCGUUAAUGCAAUGUAUCCUAUUAGAACACCGCAUUUAAGCACGCUCAAGCUAGAGUAGUACUAGGAUGGGUGACCACCCAUAAAGUCCUAUUUUUUUACACGCC
rfam:Picea glauca, whole genome shotgun sequence.